CCCUUAGAUGUUCUGGGCCGCACGCGCGCUACACUGAGUGGAUCAGCGGGUCAGGUUGCGCGAAAGUGUUUCCUAAUCUUUAAAUCCGCUCGUGAUGGGGAUUGACGGUUGCAAUUUUCCGUCAUGAACGAGGAAUACCUUGUAAGCGCGGGUCAUCAUCCCGCGCUGAAUACGUCUCUGCCCUUUGUACACACCGCCCGUCGCUCCUACCGAUUGAGUGGUCCGGUGAGGCUUUGGGAUCUGAGCGGAAAGAGCGUUUCGCUGUUUCUGCCCGGAAAACUCAGUCGAACCUUAUCAUUUAGAGGAAGGAGAAGUCGUAACA
rnacentral:rRNA from 1 species